rfam:Pongo abelii chromosome 5.
AAUUUAGUAUAAAUAUGUGUCAUGCAAUAUUUGGGACAUACUUAUACUAAAA